AUGCACGCUGGCGGCGUGCCUAAUACAUGCAAGUCGAGCGAACAGACGAGGAGCUUGCUCCUCUGACGUUAGCGGCGGACGGGUGAGUAACACGUGGAUAACCUACCUAUAAGACUGGGAUAACUUCGGGAAACCGGAGCUAAUACCGGAUAAUAUAUUGAACCGCAUGGUUCAAUAGUGAAAGACGGUUUUGCUGUCACUUAUAGAUGGAUCCGCGCCGCAUUAGCUAGUUGGUAAGGUAACGGCUUACCAAGGCAACGAUGCGUAGCCGACCUGAGAGGGUGAUCGGCCACACUGGAACUGAGACACGGUCCAGACUCCUACGGGAGGCAGCAGUAGGGAAUCUUCCGCAAUGGGCGAAAGCCUGACGGAGCAACGCCGCGUGAGCGAUGAAGGUCUUCGGAUCGUAAAACUCUGUUAUUAGGGAAGAACAAAUGUGUAAGUAACUAUGCACGUCUUGACGGUACCUAAUCAGAAAGCCACGGCUAACUACGUG
rnacentral:rRNA from 1 species